rnacentral:rRNA from 1 species
UACGUAGGUGGCAAGCGUUAUCCGGAAUUAUUGGGCGUAAAGAGCGCGCAGGUGGUUAAUUAAGUCUGAUGUGAAAGCCCACGGCUUAACCGUGGAGGGUCAUUGGAAACUGGUUGACUUGAGUGCAGAAGAGGGAAGUGGAAUUCCAUGUGUAGCGGUGAAAUGCGUAGAGAUAUGGAGGAACACCAGUGGCGAAGGCGGCUUCCUGGUCUGCAACUGGCACUGAGGCGCGAAAGCGUGGGGAGCAAACAGG